CAGUGAAAUUGAACUCGCUGUGAAGAUGCAGUGUACCCGCGGCAAGACGGAAAGACCCCGUGAACCUUUACUAUAGCUUGACACUGAACAUUGAGCCUUGAUGUGUAGGAUAGGUGGGAGGCUUUGAAGUGUGGACGCCAGUCUGCAUGGAGCCGACCUUGAAAUACCACCCUUUAAUGUUUGAUGUUCUAACGUGGACCCGUGAUCCGGGUUGCGGACAGUGUCUGGUGGGUAGUUUGACUGGGGCGGUCUCCUCCUAAAGAGUAACGGAGGAGCACGAAGGUUGGCUAAUCCUGGUCGGACAUCAGGAGGUUAGUGCAAUGGCAUAAGCCAGCUUGACUGCGAGCGUGACGGCGCGAGCAGGUGCGAAAGCAGGUCAUAGUGAUCCGGUGGUUCUGAAUGGAAGGGCCAUCGCUCAACGGAUAAAAGGUACUCCGGGGAUAACAGGCUGAUACCGCCCAAGAGUUCAUAUCGACGGCGGUGUUUGGCACCUCGAUGUCGGCUCAUCACAUCCUGGGGCUGAAGUAGGUCCCAAGGGUAUGGCUGUUCGCCAUUUAAAGUGGUACGCGAGCUGGGUUUAGAACGUCGUGAGACAGUUCGGUCCCUAUCUGCCGUGGGCGCUGGAGAACUGAGGGGGGCUGCUCCUAGUACGAGAGGACCGGAGUGGACGCAUCACUGGUGUUCGGGUUGUCAUGCCAAUGGCACUGCCCGGUAGCUAAAUGCGGAAGAGAUAAGUGCUGAAAGCAUCUAAGCACGAAACUUGCCCCGAGAUGAGUUCUCCCUGACCCUUUAAGGGUCCUGAAGGAACGUUGAAGACGACGACGUUGAUAGGCCGGGUGUGUAAGCGCAGCGAUGCGUUGAGCUAACCGGUACUAAUGAACCGUGAGGCUUAACCUUACAACGCCGAAGGUGUUU
rnacentral:rRNA from 1 species